AUUUGUAUUUUAAAGGCUAUAAGUUUGUUUUUGUGGGGUUUUCUUUGUUGCAACAUCAAGUACUUGGCUGUGACUGUCCUUGCAGGCGCGGUGUGUAUAAGAAUGUUGUGCUCUUUCUGAGAGACAGAACCAAAGAAAACACUAUGGUUUGGCGGCAGAUACAGGAGAAUCACAUGCAGGAGUACCUUCAGCGGAAGGACCUGUACACCACGCUCCUAAUGACUUGCGGAGCCCGGGGGUAUCAUCUCAUCCUUACGGCACACAUUCCAGGCGCCACUUCCUCCAAGAGAGCUUCCCUUUGCAUGGCUCUUGCGCCAGACUUUCCUGCUGGCAGAGGCCAGCAAUAUGAGGGAUUACCGAAGCCAGAUUCUGUCCACUUUUGGCACCGUGCUGAAAAUGGAUUUCACCAAAGUGGUGAAAAAGAUGUCUGGGGAAGGUCAAGGCUCAGCAGAAUGGUUCAGCAGUAUCAGAAAUGAACACUCACAAAUAGUAACAUUUGUGCUGACCUGCGAGGAGUCCUUUGACAAGCUGCAGCCAAUAUACUGUGGAGUUAUGGAAAGGUUUCACUUGGCCAAUCAGCCUGUUCCAAAAUUUUGUAUGUGGACCGUGGGUGUUGCCGUGCACAGGGACCAUCAGUAGUAGAGGCCUUGUUUCAGCCUUGGGUGGACAGUGGGAUGCUUGUGCGUCUGGACAUCUUUUACUCAUGCAAAGUACUCUGCAUUUAAGUCAGCACUGAAGUGAGUCUCUUCAAAACACCAGGUAGAAAAGUCCUCAUUUCAAAAGGUUGUUAUAAUAUUAAUACAAAUUGGGACAAACUAAAGAUCACACAAGGUGAAAUAUGAGCCCACGCCCAGCACUGUAGGGACCAAGGUUUUGAAGGGAAGGAGAGACUUGCUGAUGCCAGUCUUCCAGCCCCAGCCACCUCUUCCACCUGUGCCACUACCACCAGCACUUGGAAAGACCCCUGCAACCUCUACCAUCACCAGAUCUGUGUCUUCAGUGGCUGCUUCUACAUCAACCUCUGAGACUGUUGGGCCCCCCAUUCUGCAAAAAAAAAC